CCUACGGGGGGCAGCAGUGAGGAAUAUUGGUCAAUGGGCGCAAGCCUGAACCAGCCAAGUCGCGUGAGGGAAGAAUGCUCUAUGGGUUGUAAACCUCUUUUAUAAGGGAAGAAUAAUGACUACGUGUAGUCAGAUGCCCGGACCAUACGAAUAACAAUCGGCAAACUCCGUGCCAGCAGCCGCGGUAAUACGGAGGAUGCGAGCGUUAUCCGGAUUUAUGGGGUUUAAAGGGUGCGUAGGCGGUAUUUUAAGUUAGUGGUAAAACGGCGGGGCUUCACCUUGAUUGGCCAUUAAAACUGGAGUACUAGAGUACAGACGAGGUAGGCGGAAUGAGUGAAGUAGCGGUGAAAUGCUUAAAUAUAACUUAGAACCCUGAUAGCGAAGGCAGCUUACCGGACUGUUACUGACGCUGAAGCACGAGAGCGUGGGUAGCGAACAGGAUUAGAUACCCGAGUAGUC
rnacentral:rRNA from 1 species